GGUACUUUAAACAAUUUUCGUCUGACUUCCUGAAGACCAGUGGCAUGGGCAGAUAUACAGUAACGUUCUUGAUAUUCUUGUUCUGCUUUGCUGUGUACCGCUGCAGCGCUGGAGCAGGUUUCAUGAAUUCAAGAGUUUCUGCGUGCGAAAACUAUAGCUGUGACUCCAAUGGCGGAGGCUGCCCAUCUGGCUGCGAGUGCAAUGGGCCGUGGACGCGCGAUGGACAAAAAUGUUCAACAAAAUACUGAGGCAACUAUACGUGAAA